rnacentral:rRNA from 1 species
GACGAACGCUGGCGGCGUGCCUAAUACAUGCAAGUAGGACGCAGUUGCGAACGGGUGAGUAACGCGUAGGUAACUACCUAUUAGAGGGGGAUAACUAUUGGAAACGAUAGCUAAUACCGCAUACUAGUAGAUGGACCUGCGUUGUAUUAGCUAGUAGGUAGGGUAAUGGCCUACCUAGGCAACGAUACAUAGCCGACCUGAGAAGGAGAACGGCCACACUGGGACGGGGGCAAAGGCCAAACUCCUAAGGGAGGCCGCAGUAGGGGAUCUUCGGCAAUGGGGGGAACGCUGACCGAGCAACGCCGCGUGAGUGGAGAAGGUUUUCGGAUCGUAAAGCUCUGUUGUGAAGGAAGCGGUACUUAACCAGAAAGGAACGGCUAACUACGUGCCAGCAGCCGCGGUAAUUC